GUCUACGGCCAUACCACCCUGAACGCGCCCGAUCUCAUCUGAUCUCGAAAGCUAAGCAGGGUCGGGCCUGGUUAGUACUUGGAUGGGAGAAUGGAACUGGCAUGGAGAGCCCUGGAUGCUGUCCCCA
ensembl:rRNA 5S_rRNA 5S ribosomal RNA